ACCGCACCGCUGAACGGACUCCCGGUGCCAGCAACAUCAUCAAUGCAGAGUGACAAGGCCUGACGCCAUCAUUGCCCCAGGCAGCAGGAAGCUGGCUCAAGACCUGCUCAGGCUGUUUUCCCCUGCACUCACCUUGCGCUCCCAGAUCCUGGCCUUCCUCCUGUGGCGCGGUCUCAGGUCCGAACCCUCCUGCUUCUUGCGGACUCCUUCUGGCUGCCAAUUGCAGACACUGUUGAGCAAAUCAUCAGGGGAGCAGCAAGUGUACAGGAACAACUCCUUUGAACAACAAAGAUAGCUGCAUGGUGGUGAUAGACUCCAUUCAGCUUUGGAGGAUAGACUAAUACCACAGCACCGACUGGAGAACCACGGAGGCAGCAACUCCCCUUGAGAACUCUGCAAAGCCUACAGAUGUGCAGCUAGCACAGGCAGCAGGUGUGCUGGAAAGAUGAGGACUGGCCAAGAGGCCACUGCUGGGACCAGCCAUUAUCUCUGACUCUGUUCCUGUGUUUUGAGCUUAACAAAACUCCAAAUGCAUUUCAGCUCCAAAUUCCCUUUCUUCUGUAUGGAAGUCCCUGCAUAUUUCAGGGAAAUCUGUAACCGAUUUGAGAGCAAUCUGCCUACCCUGGAGCAACUUGGUCACAAAAUAUACUAUUUUCCCAUUCUUGCAGAAACCACUGAUGUGUCCGCUUCCACCAUCCAGCACACUCCCACCCCACCAGUCAGGGCCUCUAUGCACACAUCUAACUGUUGCAGAAUGGAUGGCAAACCCAGCAACUGGUUACCUCCAAAAUAAUUUUCAUCUUCCAUGGAAGUGCUCCAGGGGAGUGGUUUAGGGAAGGUAUACUGUAAAUUAGAACAGCUUAUUUUCAGAAGCCAUGUUUUAGAAACUUGAUAGCAGCUCCAUGUUCUUGAUAACUGUGCCUCUUGGAGGCUGCACAGACAUUUCUGUUGACGCUGGACUGGGUGCUCCCACAUGAGCUGGUUGGAUCAGUCAAGUGCCUCGUGCCCUUUUCCUUGUAUUUUGG
rnacentral:lncRNA from 10 species